ACUUCACCUGGUGUAACUAACCGUUUCCUAAUAACUGCAGUUUCCCAACACUGGUCAUGUAAAUCCAUGAUUCAUUCUUCUUCUGUGCCUGUACUGUAUAUAAGAGCAGUCUUCAGUCUGACAGCAACAUUCUCCACCAUCUACAACAUCUUCUACCAGACUUGGAGAGACAAGGUCACUGAUCACUGAAACCAUGAAGGCAGUACUUGUGCUUGGAUUCUUCCUCUGCAUCACUUUGGCCAAUCAUCUGGGCAUGGCUCACAAACGAUUUGCCCGCUCUGAAUCAGGGUCCGACUCUGAUGAGACAACUACAACAGCUGCCACCACUGCCACCACCACUGCC